rnacentral:rRNA from 1 species
CACCAUAUUUUCAUCUCCGGUUCUCGUUAGAUUUUUAAAGUUCAAGCAUCAUUGGGCGCGGUCAGUAUUUGGUGGGUGACCACCUGGGAAACCGCGUGCCGUU